rnacentral:misc_RNA from 1 species
AUUGCAGCCGCAGCAGCUGCCGCCACUGAAUACCCACUAUUUCCACCACCACCAUUUUCAGCGUCCACAUUGGACUUCUCCGCAGAAAGUUCUGUUUCCGGAUGCUUAAAUGCAGCUACAUCAACAGACCUCGCGUUGUUACCAGACCUCUUUCUACACAACACGAACAAAAUCAACAACAGCAGAACGAAUCCCAGUACAGAUCCAACAACAAUGCCAGCAAUCGCACCACCAGACAACUUCUUUUUCUUAUGCGCAUUCCCAAUUUCAAUCCCACCAGUAGCUAUAGCAGGCUGAGUCUCCUCCCCGGGACAAACCUCAAGCGGCUUCCCACAAAGUGAAUUCCCACCAAAAGCACCAGCCGGCAUUCCUUCGAGACUCUUCGGAAUAGACCCGUUUAAGCUAUUACCAGAGACAUCAAAUUGUUCAAGCUUCGAAAGCUUUAACUCCGGAAUAGACCCAGAAAACUGGUUGUUUUCAAGCAAAAGUGUUCUCAAACGAGUCAAAUUGUUAA